UAGAGGGUAGUAUAAUAGGAAAUACUUAGAGUUUUGAUCUCUAGGAUGUGGGUUCAAGUCCAGCUCUUCUAG
rnacentral:tRNA from 1 species